CCCAACUCAAUCAAAAGUGAGAACAUGACAACUAAAAACAAGACAUUUUUUUUCUAAAAAACAUUAAAACCGAUUCAAUUGUUGAACUUCUAUGCAGAAGAGGGAUAAACCCAAUGACUGUCUAUCAAAGGGGUCAAGAGAGUCUGAGUGCACCAUGUUACUUGCUUCCAUUGCUGAAGCCGGAGAUGUGGCAAUAAGGUGGUUGGUCCCUGUCGUGGCAGCAAUCCCCCAACCCUUUGGUGGACACCAGGGAUGAGGUAUGCCGUCAUAUUGAAGAAAGGACUCUUUCAGGCUGUUUUGGUCUGUGGGACUCCCGAGGCAGCUGAUGGGGGUACAGGCUGGUCAAGUGCAAUGGAGCUCUGGUGGUCGCUGAGGGACAGGACGACUGGUUGCACCCCAAGGAAAGAUGAAUGCGGCCAAGUACAGUUGAUAUCGUGGAAGAAACCCUUCUCCAGAGUGCUCAGACCUUCAAACUCAGUCAGUCUAACAUGACACUGACUCCAAGCACACAGCCUACAAAGACUGUCUUCAGAACAACUCCGUGACUGUUCUUGAAUGCCCCAGCAAGAGCUGAAUUAAACCUAAUCGAGCAUAUCUGGAGAGACCUGAAAAUUCUUGUCCACCAAUGUUCACCAUUUAAUCUGAGAGCACUGGAGUUGAUCUUCAAGGAGAAAUGUCAGUGGAUUCCCAAAACCAGGUGUGUAAAACCUGUUGUUUUCAUUCCCAAGAAAGAUUCAUGGCUGUAUUAGCUCAAAAGGGUGUUUCCACUAAAUACUGAGCAAAGGGUCGGAACACUUAUAGCUGUUUGAUACUUCAGUUUUUAUUUUUUAAUAACCACACUACGUUUGGCUCCUUCUCUGCAUGGUGCUGCUUGUAUUUUGGGGUACUAAAAAUAAGACGUGACCCCUUUACUCUGUGUUCCUCUUAACGGAGGAAGAGAAUGUGGGCUUGCCCUCACCAUCGCACAGUGCUUGCAGUUUGCCAGCAGCUUCACUGGAAUCACAUUAGUAGUGGGCUGCCGUAUUUAAUGAACUAAACUUACAGCGUCUAGCAGUUAUCAUUAGUACUAAUUAGACUGACAGCUGCAUGGUUGAGCAGUGGAAGAGAGUGUAGCUUCACUGGAUUAUACUAAAAGCAGCUUCAAAGCAAUAUGUCGGCUCUCUCCUGUACAGCAGCAGACUUCAUUUCCAUGCAAAAAAAUAAAAAUGCAUUUGGAUGGCAGCCAUAUCCAUUUCCAAAGAGGAGCGACACCCACCAUCUUUGGUUCGAUAUUGUGCUGUUUUCUGACCUCGAGUGUGGUGCCCUCAUAUGGUAAUUGGAAGAGAUGUCUGCGAAACAACAGUUAGCGUGAGCAAUACAAGUGAGGACAGAGUAAUGGGGGCGAGGCCGAGUGAUGCGCAUGGACUAAGUCGGCUAGUGCACUAAGCAACAAACUCGUGUUCAUAACGCACUCCUGGCUCGCUACGCCACUGGAAGAACCUUUUAGUGGACUUUGAAAUACAGUCGGUUUCCCCAGGCACUAGUUCAAGUGAGAUAAGUCGCCGGUUGGCUUCAUC